rnacentral:rRNA from 1 species
GAUGAACGCUGGCGGCGUGCCUAAUACAUGCAAGUCGAGCGAACAGACGAGGAGCUUGCUCCUCUGACGUUAGCGGCGGACGGGUGAGUAACACGUGGAUAACCUACCUAUAAGACUGGGAUAACUUCGGGAAACCGGAGCUAAUACCGGAUAAUAUAUUGAACUGCAUGGUUCAAUAGUGAAAGACGGUUUUGCUGUCACUUAUAGAUGGAUCCGCGCCGCAUUAGCUAGUUGGUAAGGUAACGGCUUACCAAGGCGACGAUGCGUAGCCGACCUGAGAGGGUGAUCGGCCACACUGGAACUAAGACACGGUCCAGACUCCUACGGGAGGCAGCAGUAGGGAAUCUUCCGCAAUGGGCGAAAGCCUGACGGAGCAACGCCGCGUGAGUGAUGAAGGUCUUCGGAUCGUAAAACUCUGUUAUUAGGGAAGAACAAAUGUGUAAGUAACUAUGCACGUCUUGACGGUACCUAAUCAGAAAGCCACGGCUAACUACGUG